GCUCCAAGCCACCAGAUAAGACUGCUAGGGCCAGCAUCAAUGUUGGCCUCAGCCAUGAGCUCUCCCUGGCUGAACUGCCAGGAGGAGCUGGGCAAGGACAGUUUGCCCAUUUGUCCCACAACAAAACACACAUGCAGGGGCGUGCACUGCAGCAAUUUGUGCUGCUGCAAGCACGCACCCCUGCAUGUCUGGACGCAGCCUUAAUGGCUGCACAAACCUGUCAGUUAUAGAUGUUUCCUUCAAAAUUGAAUAUCAUUUGUAAAUAGAAAAUGACUCGAGCAUAAAGUAGUUUUGUGUUGGUCUGGAAAUUAAUCAUGACCUUUUCCAGUCUAGAUUGUGCCAUAAAGGGAAGGUUCUUCCUUUAUAAAUGGAUGCAGGAUUGCAAAGUUUUUUUUUGUUUUAGUUCAUGGAAAUUGCUAACUUUGUCUUCUGUUUUGAAAAAAUAUUUCCAUGGCUAUAUGCUGUAGCAUUCCUGUAUACAUUUUAAACCCUGAAAACCACAUAUACUAUUGCCUCUUUACACAAAAUAGUUAAUAUCACUAAAUGUUUGAAGUUCACAAUUAAACCUCCAAAUCCAUUCUUAACCUUCUGUCAUGUAAGUAAUACAACAUAUCAGGAACUGUAAGGCCACAGACUGCUUGAGAAAACCCAGCUGUAUGAAGUAGAUAUUACAGUUAAUCAUAUUCCUUUUUAAACGAUCUAAAAAUUGGGCUAAAUGUACUUUGAAGAAUAACAAGGUUAUUUAGCCUGUAUGAACUGUUAGUGAAUCAAUUAGGAAGUAGCUAUUCAAGCUACGUAUGUUAAUUGCAACAAAGGAAAAGGUUAAUACAAUUUAAUGACGAUACACAUUUUAUAAUCUAGAUCUAAAGUUCAGAAAGUGUGGAACUACCAAGAACCCAUCAAUAGAAAGCUGACUUCAUCUCAGUGUGCACUCAUGUAGUGAUAAGCACUUACCAACGUGGCUCAAUUGUGAAAUGCAUUUGUAAAUAAAGUGCAAACUAUUCUAGAGCAGUAGUCAUCUUCUGAAGCUGAAAUUUUCUCUUCACAUUGUAACCUUAGUAGUAUACCUAGUUUAGUAUGCAGGUGCAUACUUUGACUUUUGUUCCAAUUCGACAUCUGAAAGAGCAUCAGACGCUGCCUGUCUUACAAAAAUUACUCUGUCUAAUCAUGAUUAUGUCCAGGUCAUAGUACAGAUGGGGUUUUGUCCACGAGUUGGGUAGAACCAUGUUUGGUGCCUAACUGAAUUAAAACACAAUUUAAGACAUAAGACAUAACCUGAUUCUAAUUUUUUACCGUUCUCCCAGGCAAGGGGGAAAAACAUAAAAUGGUCAGUCACAUUUAAGCAUGACUAUUUUGGGCACUUUUUGGAUUAAAAAUGUUCUGAUAUUUAUAUUAAAUAUGUAAAAAAUGAUGACAUUCUUUUGAUAUUAAAUCAGUAUUAGAAGCAAA